rnacentral:tRNA from 1 species
GCCGAAGUGGUGGAAUUGGUAGANNCACGCUAGGUUCAGGGUCUAGUGCCUGAAAGGGCAUGGGGGUUCGACUCCCCCCUUCGGCA